rnacentral:rRNA from 1 species
UACGGGGGGAGCAAGCGUUGUUCGGAUUUACUGGGCGUAAAGGGCGCGUAGGCGGUCGUGACAAGUCACUUGUGAAAUCUCCGGGCUUAACUCGGAACGGUCAAGUGAUACUGUCGGACUAGAGUACAGAAGGGGCAACUGGAAUUCUCGGUGUAGCAGUGAAAUGCGUAGAUAUCGUAAGGAAGACCAGUGGCGAAGGCGAGUCUCUGGACAGCAACUGACGCUGAGGCACGAAGGCCAGGGGAGCAAACGGG